UCCUUCUUAGCUCAGUUGGUAGAGCGCGUCACUAGUACAAUAAGGGCUGAUGAUUGUCACCUAGGUUUAUUGACGAGGUUAGUCGUUCAAGUCGGCUAGAAAGAA